rnacentral:rRNA from 1 species
CACGUAAGCCCCGAGCGUUGUUCGGAAUUAUUGGGCGUAAAGGGCGCGCAGGCGGCCCUGCAAGUCUGGAGUGAAAUCCCCGGGCCCCACCCGGGAACUGCUUUGGAAACUGCAAGGCUGGAGUCGCCGAAGGGGAGCCGGAAUUCCUGGUGUAGGGGUGAAAUCUGUAGAUAUCAGGAAGAACACCGAUGGCGAAGGCAGGCUUCAGGCGGACGACUGACGCUGAGGCGCGGAGGCGCGGGGAGCAAAC